GCUAGAUAUAUAUCUAUGUAAAUAUAUAUAUAUAGAAAUGGGCAUAAAAGUAAUUUGGCUCUAACCUACAAAGCCCUAUAUAAUCAUCUCUAAACCUAAUCCUAACACUUUGGCCGCCUCCUUUCAUCUCUCUCUCUCUCUCUCCCUCUCUCUCUUUCUCUUUCUCUCUCGGGCAUUUCAUCUUCCGUUUCCUCUCUCUCUCACAGCUUUCAUCUUCUUGUUUGAUUUAUGUUUGUAUUUUGUUCUUCUUUUAAUGUUUUGGAGUUUCGUUUGCAUCACUCAUCUAUUCCGUUUAUUUGGGUUUUUUUUUUUUUUUUUUUUUUUUUUUGUGCGUUUAGAUCUAGAUUGUUCUUUAGAGUAUAAUCUAAAACUGUUUAUUUGGUAUAUUUUUUGUUGUUUUUUCAUACUUUCAGAUGAACAUUAUUUUUUACGAUUUUUCAUUUCUUUUUUUCCUUUUAGAUCUGAACAUAUUUGUUUUUGUUUGAUUUUUUUUGUCGUGUUUUGUUCUUGUUUUUGUCUCGUUUUAUCUUGUUCUUAUUGUCUCCAAUUUUGUUGUUUGAAGUUUGAAAUUUUGAGAUCUGUACAACAACUAUUUGGUUUUUCACUUAUUUGGUUUUUCGGUUUUUUUUUUUUUUUAAUUUUUUUAUCUGAUUGAAAUUUUUGGUUUGUUAUUUGGAUCUGUGGGUUUCUCGGUUGAAUCUAUUGUUUGUUGGGUGUCCCUCACAUCGCCGCUCACAUCCGCAGCAAAUGGCCACUCGUGGGAGCGCACGGCCACGCCGGAAGCACACAACAACAAAGUAGAAGAUGAAAUUUCAGAAGAUUGAAUUUGUAUAUGAUGCGUUAAAUUUUUUUGUUCGGUGUACUCUCUGUAAAUAAAGAUGUAAAUAUGCAAACAUAGUUUUUUUCUUUCGAUUUUUUUUUUUUUGCUGUAAUACAUAUACAUAUCAUCUAAUUACAUAAUGUAACAAAUUCAUUCAUUCAUACAAGACAGUUAAUUUUUGCAAUAUACUGAGGAAAACAAUAAAAACGUACCUACAAUUCAAUUGCUGA